rnacentral:rRNA from 1 species
GACCUGAGAGGGUGACCGGCCACAUUGGGACUGAGACACGGCCCAAACUCCUACGGGAGGCAGCAGUGGGGAAUAUUGCACAAUGGGGGAAACCCUGAUGCAGCGACGCCGCGUGAAGGAUGAAGUAUUUCGGUAUGUAAACUUCUAUCAGCAGGGAAGAAGAUGACGGUACCUGACUAAGAAGCCCCGGCUAACUACGUGCCAGCAGCCGCGGUAAU